GGAGGGGCCAGGCGGUGGAAGCCACGCCCCCUUCGCUCUCGCCCCGCCUCCUCCUGCUGCUGCGGGCCCUUUAAGAGCGGCGCGGGCGGGGGGAGGAGGGAGUCAGUCCUGCGCUGCGGCUCCGGGAGAGAGAGAGAGAGAGACGGUUGCCAUGGGGACUACGCCGCCGCCGCCGCCGAGGGGCCUAGCCGGGCGCCGGGCCCUGUUGGCGGUGAUCGGGGAGGUUGCCACGGAGGCGGAGCGGGAGGCGGUGCGGAGCGGCCUGGAGCGCGCCCUUCGUUCGUGAGACGCGGGUCUCUCUCCUUCCGACUGAAACGGGCAGCUGAGGCUCUUCGUCACCCGGCACCUGGCUCACUUCUCCUCGGAAGUCAGAGGUCAGUGCCUGGUCAUUCCCUACCGCCUUCAUAGAAUCAUAGAAUCCUACCCCGUUCAAAACACCCCGACAGAUAGCCAUCCAGCCUCUGCUUCAAAGCCUCCACCACACUCUGAGGCAGAGAGUUCCACUGCUGAACAGCAGUCUCUCUCACACAGUCAGGAAGUUCUUCCUCAUGUUCAGGUGGAAUCUUUCUUUCCUGUCAUUUAAAGCCAUUGCUCCAUUAUAUAAUACAUAAUA
rnacentral:lncRNA from 11 species